ACCGGCUGGGCCAUUACCAUCUAGAAGCUGGUGGGGCUCUGGCAAUUAGAAAGACCGUUAGCCCUAGUUAAUAUGGUCAAGUGAUGUCAAUUGUUUAGUUUUUAGGUGCAAGGAACAGAACCAACACUGCUGGACUUAAGGAGCAAAGGAAUUUAUCCAAAGGAUAUUGCAUGGCUUGCAGAGAACCUGAGACACCCAGAGCCAGGCACUGAGGCUCUGCAGCCAGGAACAAUUGCCCACGAGAAGGAUUUAGAAACACUUCCGUUGCUAUGGGUGCUGGACCCCACAGGUUCCACCACUGACAACGCAUGACGAACAAUGCGGCUACAGUCACUGCCGUAUUCUGCUCUGCACUGCACCUGCUUCUUCCAAACCCCUGAUUUCUUAUCAAUCAAGGUUAGGGAAGAUGUCCCUGACUGGCAUGUGCCUUCAGUUGUGCUCAAGGAGCUGGAAAAGCAAGAUCUGCUCGCCUUAGGAGUAUCUUCUCUAUGCUGCACUGCCCUUUCCUAAACUGAGCCAGGCCCUGGUUUCUGGGUGUGAUAAAGAUGCUGAAGUGCAAAAUCUACCUUCAAGAUGAAAGCCAGCUGCCUGAUCCUGGUUUUGAGUGCCAAAAAUUCGAAAUUACCCAGUCUUUCUCUCGGCUUUCCUCCCAUAACAGAUGUUCAUCUUCUCCAAUCAGACAGAUGCCUGGAGCCAGCUAAAGUAGAGGUUGUAUCCUUGGGAAAGCAAAGGAGAAGCACAUUAAAAUUUAAAAAAACGAUUACCCAGUUGCAAUAAGUAAAAGUAGAGUAAGUGUU